AACUUAUGGAGGAGGAUUUGUUUCAAUCGAUUGAGGAAGUGGUUGUCGAUUCAAGUGGAUCAAUGACUCAUAAGAAAGAUGAAGAAACUCAAAAAAACACGUUACAAAAUCUACUAACUUCUUGGGGCCUAAAUCACCUCAUAAACUUUUUUCAAGAACAAAACAUCACAAACCAUGCCCUUUCCAUUAUGUUUAUAUAAAUGCAACGAUGCAGUCUUUAGAAGACCAUUUGGAUUUUUUAUCAGCGAAAGGCGAUCCAGUUCAGCCGUUUAUUUUGGGUUUAGGUGUGUAGAAACUCUUAAAAUUAAUUCAUUUUAUGUAUAUUUGGAUGGCCAAUUGAUGCCAUUCGAAAAUUUUCAGAGAGCUUUUGAUAUAUGCUUUAAAUCGUUCCACUUAUUUAAGGUUGAAUAUCCAAUGGCAAGUGGUCCGUUUUGGAUGUUUGUAGAAAACUAUCUUUAUAAUAUUUCAAAAGCAGAAACAAAGAAUACAAAAGUUUGUAUACUACUGGAUAAAUUAUCUCAAAUUUAAAACUAUUGAUAUUAUUACUAAAUUAUUAUUUAAUUGUUUAUAUUGAAACAAUUUUUCUAUUUAUUUUAUUAUAUGAAACUGAAAUUUAUUAUUUAUAUAUUU